rnacentral:snRNA from 1 species
GUAUAUAAAGUAAAUAUUGGAUA